CCCUUAGAUGUUCUGGGCCGCACGCGCGCUACACUGACUGGUGCAACAAGUCUAUAACCUUGCCCGAUGGGGCUGGGUAAUCUUCGAACGCCAGUCGUGAUGGGGCUAGAUUAUUGCAAUUAUUAAUCUUCAACGAGGAAUUCCUAGUAAACGCAAGUCAUCAGCUUGCAUUGAUUACGUCCCUGCCCUUUGUACACACCGCCCGUCGCACCUACCGAUUGAAUGGUCCGGUGAAACCUCGGGAUCGAAUCGCUGUGGGGCAACCCUCGCGUGUUUGAAAACUUGGUUAAACCUUACCAUUUAGAGGAAGGUGAAGUCGUAACA
rnacentral:rRNA from 1 species